rnacentral:lncRNA from 1 species
UUACACUAUACUAUAUAUUAUGAGAGUUUACAGUUGGAAUAAAUUGUAUAAAUUAAAAAUUAUAUACCAAAGUGGUAUACAUGUAUACAAUUUUGUUAUAUAGUACAAAUCCAUCUUCUUCGCUAGUUCAACUGAAUCUCAACCCAAAUUCCACAGCUUUACUGCAAAAUCACCAUUAGGAUGGCUCAAGCUUUUGCUACACUUCUAAUUAACAUUUCAAACAAACCCCAAGCAGAAUAAGAUCAAACAAAUACACACUCAACAAGCCCACUACAUGAAUUUCCAGCUUCAAGGUCAUUCAAUUGUACACUUAAAUAUUUCUAAUAAUAAAUAUCCAAAAAUCUCCAGUAUGAACUUUCUAAAGAUACUAUAAAUAACUUUUAAAAAUAUUUGUUUGUAUCAAACAACAAAUCGUAAUGUUUAAAUUUCAAUUCACAAGUUUCAAGCUAAACAAUGGCGGGUCUUUAAAAAUUGAAUCCCAAAUACCUCAAAUCAGCUCCAAAUAAUAUCAAAUUUCAGUAUGAUUAAUACCUUGUCUUUUACAAUAGUAUAGCAUCUUACCUAAAAACCACAUUCAGGCAACAAGUAUAAAUGCUUAAGCUCAGACCAUUCCUUGUGAGAAUCCACAAAAAGGAAAUAUUUUCAUCAUAUAUAUUAGGAAAGUAGCGAAUAUUCCAUAUUCUCUAUAAAGAGUUGUACAAUAUAAUGAGUUAAGCACAUAAGUGAGAAAUGGGAGAAGAUGGUCAAAGCAACAAUGGCGACAUGAGUUGUGAAUGCAACGCCUUGGCAUAAGAUAAGUGAAGGGGUGCGUAAUUAUUUUUAACCGUAUGGAUAGUCUUUGUAGUUAGCUUGAGUAGAUAAUUAAUUUAGAUUUAUAUGAAUAAUUUGCAUAGAUUCCCCUUUAUUAUAUAUACUAGUUUCUAUGUACGUGCAAUGCACGAAUAUAAAACAACAACAACAAUGACGACCCAGUAAAGUCCUAUUAAGUGGGGGUAUGGGGAGGGUUGUACGCAGAUCUUACCCCUAUCCCGAUAGGGCAGAGAGGUUGUUUUCGAUAUACCCCAUGCUCAGGAAGAUAAAAAUAAAAUAGGAAACAAGAAAAGACAAUUCAUCAGUAACAUCAAUAUAACCAUAGAAAUAAUGACAGGAUUCUAAAAUUCCCGAGCCUUCGUGUCCCUCUCUUUAGCCAAUCGAAAGAACUUCUUAUCACCGACUUUUCCCCCCAAUUACUCAUACAGUUGGCGCCGCAUCCUUAGCCUACGUGAGUGCUAGCUUAGCCUCCUUUCUUGCUACCUUGUACCUCUCUCUAUUCUCUCUUCUUUCCUUCUCACAUGUGAUCCCUACCUCCACUUUGCCUUAGACUAUGUCAUUCCACCAUCAGUUGCCUUGAUGCUUGACAGAGUGACCCUUAGAAAUACCUAGCGCCUCUCUCGCCGCCUCACUAACGCAGUUCGCCGUCAUAGCCCACAUAGCGCUGGCGUCCUAACUACUCCUCCAUGUUCCCAUAGCUAAUAACCUCCCCUCCAACUCCUGAGCUUUAUCCUCAGUUAAGGUUCCCCACCUAAUCCUCGGUUGACCAUGACCAUACCUAUUCUUCCUCCUUAUAGUAAUACCGACAUCCAUUACCAAGAGCCUAUGCUGGGACGCGAGGGUCUCACUCAGGAUAACCUUGCAAUCCUUGCACAACCCUCUAUCAUAUCUUCUGAGAAGGAGGUAAUCAAUCUUAAUUUUCACAAUCGAACUUUGAAAAGUUACUAGAUGCUCCUCCCUCUUUGGAAAACUCGAGUUCGCAAUCACCAACUCGAAAGCCUUAGCGAAAUCCAACAACGAGGAACCUCCUCCAUUUUUUAUCCCCAAAGUGGAAGCCACCAUGCACGUCACCAUAGUCAUCAACAACCGAGCCAAUGUGGCCAUUGAAAUACCCUCCUAUAAAUAUCCUCUCAGCGGGUGCAAUACUACGCACAACCUCGUCCAAACUCUCCCAGAAGUGCCUUUUAACCUCCUCAUCCAAGCCCGCUUGUGGCACGUAAGCGCUAACGACAUUGAGGGUGCACUCACUAAUCACCAACUUAAUAAACAUUAGUCUGUCAUGCACCUGCUUGACCUAGACCACCGACUCUCUAAGGUCCCUAUCUACAAAGAUACCCACUCCAUUUUUACCCCUCACAAACUCCAGAGUACCACAACUUAUACUCGUACACAUUCCUCGCCUUCGACCCUACCCACCUAGUUUCCUGGACACAAGCUAUAUUUACUUUUCUCUUCUGCAGAAUCUUCGCAGCUCAAUAGACUUACCCAUCAGCGUGUCUAUAUUCCAUGACCCGAUCCUCAACCUACAAGCUCCUUUUCUCCCCUUACCCUCAUUGCCACCCGUCCUAUCCUCUGGCCCUCUCCCCACGCCCCUCCCCACAAUCUGAACCCCCCGAAGAUAUGACCUUACUCUACCAUCCCAAACCACAAACACGAUAGACUACGAACAAGAACUAGCACGGAAUAGGGUCCAACUAGAAGGUAACAAAUAGCAACUACAAGUGCGCAAUAAUAUGCUUAAAGUAAUGCUAACUAGAUUGGCAGAAUUUAAAUAACACAAAGAGAUAAACAGGAAAGCGGGAGGUACCAACUCCCGAUUGGAAGAACCUAAAGAUAUGACUUGGUUCACACCCGUGGUUACGGAAUCCGCCAUACGUCCUUCCAAAUCUCACCAGCCUUUGCACCUACCAACCAAGAAUGCUCUGCUUACUUGUUCGAACGCCUUGCGCUCGUCUCGACGCAGAUAGUUCCCUGCAAAUUGGCACACAAACACCGCAAAAACAAUAGGGGAGAGGUGUGGGUUGUCAACCUGUCGCUGUUGCACCAACUUCGUUCCACGGCAGCCCGGGUUGUCUAACUAAACUAUGGGAAAAACCACCGCCCAAGGCAACGGGGAUGGUCGAUGAGUCUAGGUAACUAGCACAAAGGAGGGGAAGGGGGUGGGGAGUAAAGGCGACCUGGACAGACGCGACAAGUGUUGCCGUCCAGGGGUCACCGACGGGUUGCUAGGGUUCGCCAGAUUUUAGGCACAAGAAGGGCUCUAGACCGAACUGCAUGAAAAGAGAGAAGGGCUUAGGGGAGUAAGAGAGAAGAAAGUAGAGAGGGGGAGAAAAAUCAGUUGCCGGCCGGAAAACUCCGAUGAUGACUAACACAGGGAAGAUGCAAAACAGAAAACGGGGGAAGGAGAGAGAAGGGAUGGGGAAGAGAGAAGGGAUGGAGGGGGGAGGAAGAGAGAGGGAGAGAGGGUAACUUACUAGUGAUUUUCGGCGCUGGCGGUCUCGCCGGUUGCGUUACAAUAGACGAAAAAGGGAGACUAACGUGGAGAGAGAAAGAGAUUCGAGAGAGAAAGAGCCGUUGACUGUAGCGUUAAAUAUCAAUAGUUAAAAUUAGUA